rnacentral:rRNA from 1 species
UACAGAGGUCUCAAGCGUUAAUCGGAGUCACUGGGCUUAAAGGGUGCGUAGGCGGGUCCGCAAGUGCUUUGUGAAAUCCCACGGCUUAACCGUGGAAUUGCUUGGUAGACUGCGGAUCUUGAGGUUGGUAGAGGUCGCUGGAACUCUAGGUGGAGCGGUGAAAUGCGUAGAUAUCUAGAGGAACGCCAAUGGUGAAGACAGGCGACUGGGCCAAUUCUGACGCUGAGGCACGAAAGCGUGGGGAGCAAACGGG